rnacentral:lncRNA from 1 species
AGAUGUAGAGUCGAAAUGGAGCAGAUGCGAAAACAGAGAAAAUCGACACAUCUGUAACGAUAGACUCAUUAAUUUACCAGACAAGUAACGGCAUCAACCAUUGUAUGUUGAGGAGGAUACCUGACUAAUGUCUGGACAGAAUAACUAAAAUUCCAUCAUUUUCAAUUACACGGUGGUAAUACACAAAAUGAUUCAAAACAAACAAGACUUAAACAUUC